UACAGAGUUCCCAAGCGUUGUUCGGAUUCAUUGGGCGUAAAGGGUGCGUAGGCGGCGCGGUAAGUCGGGUGUGAAAUCUCGGGGCUUAACUCCGAAACUGCAUUCGAUACUGCCGUGCUUGAGGACUGGAGAGGAGACUGGAAUUUACGGUGUAGCGGUGAAAUGCGUAGAUAUCGUAAGGAAGACCAGUGGCGAAGGCGGGUCUCUGGACAGUUCCUGACGCUGAGGCACGAAGGCCAGGGGAGCAAACGGG
rnacentral:rRNA from 1 species